UACGGGGGGAGCAAACGUUGUUCGGAAUCACUGGGCGUAAAGGGCGCGUAGGCGGUCCUGUAAGUGGUGUGUGAAAUCCGAUGGCUCAACCAUCGAGCUGCGCUCCAUACUGCAGGACUUGAGUACAGCAGAGGAAAGUGGAAUUCCCGGUGUAGCGGUGGAAUGCGUAGAUAUCGGGAGGAACACCGUUGGCGAAGGCGACUUUCUGGGCUGCUACUGACGCUGAUGCGCGAAAGCCAGGGGAGCGAACAGG
rnacentral:rRNA from 1 species